rnacentral:rRNA from 1 species
CAAUUUUUUAGAGAGUUUGAUCCUGGCUCAGGAUUAACGCUGGCGGCGUGCAUAACACAUUCAAGUCGAACGGAAUAAAUUGCUUCGGUAAUUUAUUUAGUGGCGGACGG